rnacentral:lncRNA from 1 species
UGCUACUCCUAACUGCCCCUCAAUGUCACCCCCACCCCAAGAUCUCUCUCCCAAUUAGGAGUCCAUGCCGCCCCAAGUCCCGCUCGAAGAAUCCCUGAGAAACAUCACCCCGUCCACUUCUUUUCUUAUUAAAACAAAAAGACAGGAAUGUCAUAUCCCACAAAUAUGGCUGCAUUAUUGCCAGCAGGCCAUUAUUGACGGUGGG